rnacentral:snRNA from 1 species
AUUUAUCAUAUGACCUUCUUUAU